CGUCGUGGUAUGAUGACGUUUCACUGUUGGUGGUGUUGCAACAUGAGACGAAUAAUGUAGUUUUACUAAAAAAUGGCUAAUUCACUUGGGCGUUGUGGUUAAUCGGCGGAUUUUGCACGUCGCUCAUAACAGACUGAGCGAGCUGUAAAAUGAUGUUGUUGACACGUUUUAUUUUGUGAAUAUUAGUAGCUUGUUACCUAUUUCAUCGUAGCUCAGUUGCAUCGCGCGAUAGUGUCGACAGAGAUGUGUCAGAACUGAGGCAAUUUUGCGAGUCACAUAUUUUGCUCUCGGCAAGGUUGAGCGCGUUUUGGUUCAUUUGUUAUUUGCCGAGGUCGAGACCUUUUCUUCGAAUGUUGAGGUAACCGCGAGGCAUUCGCAACAUGUUGAACAUUCCAACUCAGUCGUUCCCUUCGCCGAGCUCCCAGCAGCGGGUCGCCCGGCCCGGCCAGUCGGGCAGGGCCAAGGUUGCCUUGAAACCAGGCCACAGUCUAAUGGACUGGAUUCGGUUCUCCAAAAGUGGAAAAGAUCUCACCGGCUUGAGGGGGCGUCGGAUUGAAGUUACCCAAGAGGAAUUGCAGAAACACAACACCAGGAAUGACUGCUGGACUUGUAUACGAGGUAUGGUGUAUAAUGUCACUCCCUAUAUGGACUACCACCCUGGUGGAGAAGAUGAGCUGAUGAAAGCAGCAGGCAUAGAUGGCACUGACCUCUUCGAUCAGGUCCAUCGGUGGGUAAACUAUGAGUCCAUGUUGAAAGAGUGUCUGGUGGGCAGGAUGGCGACGAAGCCCACCACAGCAAUUAAAGCAAUGAUGCCACCACCUCUACCAGUCUUCACCACCUCUAACCAAGUGUCUCCUCUUUCCGUCAAAGACUCUCGACCUCGGUACGACUGGUUCCAAACUGCAACAACACUGCAUCUGGUUAUUUAUGCCCAAAGGAAGAUACCCAACACGGGAUGUACCGUUGUUGAUCUUGAGGCUGGCGUACUACGAGUAGAAGUCCUGCUUGGAAAAAUGUCGUACAUGGUACAUUUACGUCUUUCAGAAAAUGUUGAUGAAGACAUUGCUGUUCACACUGCAGUCUCUGUGGGAAAGAUCCAAGUGACCAUCCACAAGCAGGCAGAAGGAAAAUGGUCGAGCUUCGGUCAGCCUUUGGAAUUCCACAAUACAUUUUUAAGCAAAAAAGACAGAGCUCUUUUCUUUCGGGAUUGUGUGUUGGUGUCGAAGACUGAGGUGAACCAUAACACAUACGUCUUUCAAUUACAACUUCCACGUGGGACCAUCAUGCAUGUGCCUGCUGGGAGACACCUCUACCUCAAAUCCCUCGUUCAAGACAUAGAGGUGGUGCGACCAUACACCCCAGUCGACCAGAGUCUUUCAGUUGGGCCCAAUCCCUCAGAAAAAACAAACCUCUACCUCAUGAUUAAGGUUUAUCCUGAUGGAGUACUGACUCAACAUCUCAACAGCCUAUACAUAGGUGACCAUGUAUCUGUUAGUGGUCCUGAGGGUACAUUCAGUCUUCGCCCCCUCCGUGAUGCCGCAGUUCUCUACCUUUUAGCAGCAGGCACGGGCUUCACUCCAAUGUGUCGUCUCAUUCGACUGGCCCUACAGGAGAUAACCACUAUCAGGAAAACCCAAUUGCUGCUUUUUAACCGACGGGAAGAGGACAUUGUGUGGCGAAGGGAGCUGGAUGAACUAACUGCUAAUGAUGAAAGGUUCCAGGUGGAGCACAUCCUCUCGGAGCCGUGUGAUAACUGGACCGGCAGGAAGGGCCGUGUGGACGAUGCAGUAAUCGAGGAUUUUGUCAGUAGGCCGGAGGGGUCAAAGUGCUAUGUUUGUGUAUGUGGCCCCUCUCUCUUUACAGAGCAGGCAAUCAGAUUUUCAGAUUGUCACGCUGAAAUGUUUCAGAUCAUCAAAGCAAUUUUAAAAUCUGAAAAACAACCCAAGUAAACUAUGACUUUAUUUAUGGAGGAGGACAAAAUCCAAACCUUUCUGGAGCUAUAUGAAAAGGCUGGUGAAGCACCAGGGCUUCAGUGAAGAGGAGUUCCAUGCCUUCCAGGGCUGAUGUGCUCUGCUGCAAAACUACAGACUGUGUGUCCCUUGGAGUGGCAACCAGACUUCAUUUCUACGCGCAUGUACAUAUGUGUGACAAGAGAACAUUCUAUGCACCAAGAACGUGGUGAAAUCAACUCAUUCGUUUUCAGAGCAACCGACUACCGUAUUUUCACGACCACCGUAUUGUUGGGCGCAGGCAUGGUAAAACAUACGCUAGCUUAAAACAUACCGUAGCAGUCAUGCACGCUAAAACGGUGUUUUUAAAAAGGCAGCGGGAGCAAAACUGACUUCGGUUGUACUUUAUUAAAGUAUUAAACAAUGUACUCAUGUUAUUUUUGGAUCAAUCCUCAUCCACAAAUCUAUCAAAGUCCUCAUCUUCUGGAUCCGAACUGAACAGCUGAGCAAGUUGAACACGCCAGGUCAGUCUCGUUGCCGUGCGGCUCCUGAGAAAUGAUGCCGGCUUUUACGAAAGCGCAAGCAGACACGUCAGCACGAGCAUCCGCAAUCCGUUCACAAAUUGUGCCGUAACUCGCCCGGCGCUGCCUCCUAGUCUUAGUAAAGCUGUGUUGGCCAUCUGUCAUCCAUGGCUCCCACGCCGCUCGCAACUUCACUUUGAACGCCCUGUUUACACGGAUGUCCAGCGGUUCGUUCGUCAAGCCUCCCGGAAUGAUGGCAAGCCCCGAGUUAUUGCACUCAGUCGAACGGUGACUUGAGACGCUUCUCCCGGCUGUUCUUUGCUCAUUAAUCCCUUGCUCGAGUAGGUCUUCCAACUCGGGCCACCUCGCCUCGUUUCCGCGGAAACUCAGCUUCGGCUUCUCGAUUCCCAUGUUCCUCCGCGUAACUGCUAGCUCGUAGUUUAAACUGUGCUUCGUAAGCGUGUCUGUUUUCGGGGGUCUUUAUCAAAGCGAUGUUUUUGCACAGUGCACAAAAAAAAGUCAAGCGGAGCGCUCAUCACACAACAUUUAUAGAUGUUGGAACUCGGUGCACACAUAAGGUGCGUCGCAUUAUAAGGCGCCCUGCCCAUUUUGGAGAAAAUUUCCCACUUUGAAGUGCGCCUUAUGGUCGUGAAAAUACGGUACAUAUUGCCAGUCGUUUUAGAACAUUUUGACUGAUUUUACAAGACCCAAAGAGUAUUGUGUUCCCUGAUUUUCUAGAUAUCAUAUCUACCAAAAGAAAGAAUGCUCUCGUCUUUCCCCAGGGAAGUUUGAUACCACCUUUUUCUGUUUUUUAGCAAUCAGCAGUAGAGCUUAGUUUGGUUUCACCAAAUAGAACUAUUUCUCCCAAAAAGCAGUGAAAACUAGUUUUUUUUAUUUUUUAUUUCUAAAUACUAUAUAAAGCAGAACACUGACUGAUGCUAAAUCUCUAGCUUUAGUGUCUAACAUCUGAACAGUGAAUUCCUUCUGUAAAACAGCAAAAACAACAUUUAGGAAUGGCAUUUGAUCGUAAAAUAAUAAUGUAUUUCCCGAUAUACAUCGCACCAUGAGCAAUGUCAGUCAUGGGUAGGGAUGGGUACCUUUCGCAUUCAAACCGAUACAUUCCCGGUUCCGCGGAAUCGAUGCCUGUACGAAUUUGCUGUACUUUUGUGUGUUGAGUGGAUGGGGAAAAUGUCAAAUCAACAUUUUUUAAUCCAACCUUUACAGUGAAACCUCAAUAGAACGUACUAAUAGGGGCGGGGGGUUCGUCCGAUAUCCCCGAUUGUAUUUUACAUUAAAGUUUUGUUUUUUUUGUUUUUUGAGGCCAUAUGCUUCCUAUUACUGUACAGUACAAAAUUGUUUUGUAGGUUUAGGUAAUGAAAAGAAAUAUAAAACAAGCUUGAAAAUGUUGUUAUAGGCGAGUUGCUUUCAUGAGCCGCGAGCAAUUAGUGUGCUUCCUAGUUCGAAAUCUGUUGCCUAAGGCGAAUGGAUUGACGAAAAAAAUGUACAAAAACUAGCAUGUUACAAACUCCAGAGUAUGUAACCUGUCACAGUUUUGUAUUCCUCUCUCUCUCUCUCAUCAGUCCAUUCUUUGCCUGCAUUGCGCCACAGCAAAAGUUAACAACAGCGGGCAAUUCUGGAAUUAACAGACAUUGUCAACGGCUGUUUAAGUGACAAAUGGAAGCUAUUUUUGGACACAUUGCUCAGUCUCGACGGUCCGUUGUAUCCGAUAUCCAUUAUAUUGGGGUCCGUUUUAUCGAGGUUUCACUGUAUUUUUCAAUAUGUUCACUUUGAAAAAUAUAACAGAGCAACAUCCUAAGUUUAAAAUAAAUUAUCAAAAGAACAUGGAAUAAUAAAAUGAAUAAAGAUAUAAUAGUUUAUAAAUAAAGAAUAAAUGUAGCAUAUAUAUAUAUAUAUAUAUAUAUAUUGUAAAAUAUCCAGGACGGCCAUCUAAGGAAGUUAAGGAGAAACCGGUUUAUUCAAAUUCUCCUGAUUUGCUGCUAAUUUAAAUUGUGAUAUUGUGGAAUGAACAAUGGACCAAAUUUUGAUGAAAAUAAUCUGGGGAUCAAUAAAGGCGUAUAUAUCAUUUAGUAUUGGUAAAAGCGCGUGUUGGGUCGCGUCGGAUUUUAAAUCCGUAGGGUUUAAAGCUGUCGGCGAACACAUCGAGGUUUUAUUGUUGGCCAACAAUAACCUCCGAGAAGGAAGCAGUUGGACAGCCAACUGCGGACAAGGUCGAACUCGGCAGAGGUACUUUGGUGUGGUGGUGCGGGUCUCCGUGACGGGUUGAGCAGACUCCCUUACAUUGAGUUAUUCCGUCGGGUGGAGGCGAGUCUCCCCCAUCGUUGAGUCUAAUCUAUCGCUCCAGAGACGGGCGGUAGGUCCGCCCAGUUCGACCUGUAGAAAAUUACAGAAACUUGCAAAAAAAAAAAAAACGUAAAAUUAACAAUAUAAAAACUUUUUUUUAUA